rnacentral:rRNA from 1 species
AGACGGAGGGUGCAAGCGUUGUUCGGAAUCACAGGGCGUAAAGCGCGUGUAGGCGGUCCGAUAAGUCGGAUGUGAAAGCCCGAGGCUCAACCUCGGAAGUGCAUUCGAAACUGUCGGGCUGGAGUACGGGAGAGGGAAGUGGAAUUCCUGGUGUAGAGGUGAAAUUCGUAGAUAUCAGGAGGAACACCGGUGGCGAAGGCGGCUUCCUGGACCGAUACUGACGCUGAGACGCGAAAGCGUGGGGAGCAAACAGGAUUAGAUACCCGAGUAGUCC